GACGAACGCUGGCGGCGUGCUUAACACAUGCAAGUCGAACGGAAAGGCCCUGCUUUUGUGGGGUGCUCGAGUGGCGAACGGGUGAGUAACACGUGAGUAACCUGCCCUUGACUUUGGGAUAACUUCAGGAAACUGGGGCUAAUACCGGAUAGGAGCUCCUGCUGCAUGGUGGGGGUUGGAAAGUUUCGGCGGUUGGGGAUGGACUCGCGGCUUAUCAGCUUGUUGGUGGGGUAGUGGCUUACCAAGGCUUUGACGGGUAGCCGGCCUGAGAGGGUGACCGGCCACAUUGGGACUGAGAUACGGCCCAGACUCCUACUGGAGGCAGCAGUGGGGAAUAUUGCACAAUGGGCGGAAGCCUGAUGCAGCAACGCCGCGUGCGGGAUGACGGCCUUCGGGUUGUAAACCGCUUUCGCCUGUGACGAAGCGUGAGUGACGGUGAUGGGUAAAGAAGCACCGGCUAACUACGUG
rnacentral:rRNA from 1 species